UGGCGGUGGGGGAGCGGAGAGGCCUAGGGGACCUCCCCGGGGUGAGUGGGGAUAGAUCCCGGGGGGCCAGUUCCGCAGGGAACCUCGAGACUAAAUUGCUGCCCCUGGUUAAGGGGGGGGGGGUGUGUGGAUGCCCACCUCACUGCCUUUGAGCAGGCUGGCGAUUUGAACCAAGGGGACCCUGCGGAAAAGCCCCGGUGUCUGGCUCCCUUGCUGGGUCCCAAGGCCAUAGACUCCGUCAGCCAGAUGGUUGGGGAUGUGGACGGGCUCCCACUCCUGACCCCAACCUAUAUGUCUGUGUGGAGUUUCCUGGGGCCAGGCCCCCCGGACCUCCAGUGGGAGCAGAAGGUGAUGGUCAAUGGGGAGACAUUCUUGGGGUGGCCAAAGGGCAUGGGCUGCAUAAACCUUCCCACAUGCGGCCUGCGAGUGCUAUCGACCACCCCUGACCUAAGGGAGGGCGUGAAACUGGAAGGGCCUGGUGUAACUCCUACCAAGGAAUGGGAGAGAUGCUGGGGCAUCCAUGGGAACGUUGGUGGCUUCGAACUUCCCCAGGUCACCGGCUAAAGUGACCCCGCUCAGUUUGAUCUCGAAGGGGGGAGAGAUGUGACGAAGUGGGACUGUUCUUAAUGUUUCCUCUGAAUAGUGUGGGGGUGCCUCAGUUUCCCCUAGGCAGUUCUUAAGUAUCUAGGGGGUGGAGUAAGGGUGUAUGAUCAUUGCAGAGCCCUAGAGGGCAGGUGUGUGCAGGAGUCUGGACACAGAGAAUGGCCGACACCCUGUUUCCUGGCAACUGAUGGCCUGGGCCCUUCCCCCCCUGCAAGUUGAGAGCUGAAGGGUUGGAGAACAAAGGAAUCAGGUGACCACCUGGCCCGGGAAAGGAACAAAGCCCAGAGGAGGAGGGGCUGGAGGGGGUUUCAGUUUGGGGCUGGCUGGGACAUGGAGUGAAGUGCAGACGUGGUUGUCUGGCUCACUGCCCCCCAAAAUGGACCCAGCUGAGGGGUCCCGUUCUCUGCACCUGCAAGCUCUGUGUUAGACCAUGUUCCUGUCGUCUAAUAAACCUUCUGUUUUACUGGCUGGCUGAGAGUCACGUCUGACUGCGAAGUUGGGGUGCAGGACCCUCUGGCUUCCCCAGGAGCCCCACCUGAGCGGACUCGCUGUGGGAAGCGCACGGAGGGGCAGAGGAUGCUGAAUGCUCCAAGGUCAGACCCAGGAAGGUGGAAGCUGAGUGAGCUGCGUGUCCUGAAGACAGGCUGCUCACAGAAAGGCAACUGCCCCAGAGUCCUGACUGGCUUCAUGGGGAGCAGUUCCAGAGCAUCGCCCAGGGACUCCGUGACACCCUGCGAAUGCUGGCCGCCUGUUCCCUAGCAGGACUCUUCCAUGAAGAUUGGCCAAUGAACUGCUGCUAGUUAGGAUUAUUAUUGCAUACUCGGUGCAGCACAAGCAGAAAGGAAGACAGAGUUUGGUCCAUGGAGCUCCAGUCCAAGGGCCUGAUCCUGCUCAGUGGGAGCAGAACGGGAACCCCCCCCUUGACACUGACAAUAUCUGCACAGCCAUGAUGCCGGUGCUGAAUAGCUAAACUUUAAGCAAUUAUUUUUCUUGUUUUAAAACACAAUGGAAUGCCUGUACAUCGACUCUGUUUUUCUAUUGGCUGCCACCAGUGUUGCCUGGUGACGGCUGUGUGCAAACACUCUUUUAAGGAACCCAGAGAGCCAGCUGCUUAAUGAGCCCUGGGAAUCUGCAGGCUACAGGGGAUAGAGCAGAUCCCAGCACUAAGGAAAAAACCUGUAAGGUGCAUUGAGACAGAUCAGCUGAAGGUCUGUUGGGGGUAGACAAGCUGAUGAUAAUGGGUGUGGGAGAUGAAGAUGCUGUCAUCAAGGAAAAAGCACAGAUUUUAAUUGAGGAUGUAAUCAGGGAUGCAAAAGAGCAUCUUCGAGAUUUGCAAGAAAAAGAGAGAGAAGCUGAGUACAUCAUCCAAAACAUUCAAUGGACCUCAUGCAAGGACUUUACAGUGGAGAGGGGACAGCAGCAAAUUGAGGAAUACAUGUCAUCAUCUGUACUAGAGAGUGGAAGACUUAUAGUGUGGUGUAUGUUCAGCAGACGUGGGAGUUUCAUGGGAGCUGGCUUCACUGGUCAGACUACCUCCAGGAACAAGAAUUGACGUACAGCAAGAGGUACCACUACCGGGUUCGCUGGAGCAUCCCAACAUGCAGGAAGCCCAUCCCACGAACAACAGCAUGCAUCUAUUUCAUCAUUGAGAUCUCCAAAAUUAAACCACCUACCUUGCCAGUUGAGGUAUUCUUCAUUUUGGAAUCAAAUAGGUUCAUUCACAGGUAUAUUUUUUUCUGUAGCUUUUUUUAAAGCAAUGAACCAGUAUAGAAGGGCCCUAGCAACGGUGCAUAAACCAUGGUUAAUUUCAGGUAUGUCCAGCUAUAUUAGAAAUGGGUACAGAUAGCCCCCACCCCACCAUAGCUGAGUGUGUCAGGGAAUCAGCGCCAGCAGGCUGAUGCUGUCUGGCCCUGCCCUGCUGUUGGCUGCUCUAACUUACACCAGCUGAGGAUCUUGUGUUUUGGCCAUACUCUCCACCAGGGCUCAGUGGUUGUGACAUAAGUCAACUAUGGUGACACUACAAAUUCUGGGGCCUCCCCCCAGGGAAAAUUCCAGGCUGUUUCUGGCAUUUGUGGCACCAUACGGGUGAAGCGGGGCUAAGAGUCUAAUCCAUGAGGUGUAUGUGGAAUGCUAAUAACAACUCACAGCCUUAUACAAACUGGGAGCCUAACCUAGCUCCACUAGCAUUCGAACAAGAUCUACGUAAAUUUAUCUUUUUAUAUCCCAAGCAAGUUGUAGGACAGCGCUUCAGCAGAGGCAGGAAAGUGAGCUGGCUAUAGCCGAGUUCUUAAAAAAAAAUCCUGUCUAUGCGACUCAGGGAAACCACACUAAAAUCCCACCAGCAAAAAAACACUCAAACCCCACCGAGCUAGCAUAGUUCUUUAUCCCAGCAUGUACAUGUUCCAUGGGUGUCUAUUUCCUGCGUACUGAAUUAGUGAUGGAUUUACACAGGCCUAAAAAGCCUCAUUCUUCCAGGGGAUAGGCUUGCCCACUUCAAAGGGCUUCCUUCCAGCUGCCAGAACUCUGAUUUGCAGCUGACUGCUACCAUUAUUCUUACACUGUUUGUUCUGUUUUUUCUAGACCAGGACAGUGUCGGUUUAGGGAAAAGUGGCUCAAAGACAUCAUUGAAAGCAAGAAAAUUCUCAUGGACAGCAUAACUUUCUAAAUAAACAUUUGCUUCAGAUUAAAUCCAAUUCAAAAGGGCACCUACAAUAUGUUGGUGUUAUAUGGAAAUAAACUAAGGGCACUGGAACAGG